UACGGGAGGCAGCAGUAGGGAAUCUUCCGCAAUGGGCGAAAGCCUGACGGAGCAACGCCGCGUGAGUGAAGAAGGUCUUCGGAUCGUAAAACUCUGUUAUUAGGGAAGAACAAAUGUGUAAGUAACUAUGCACGUCUUGACGGUACCUAAUCAGAAAGCCACGGCUAACUACGUGCCAGCAGCCGCGGUAAUACGUAGGUGGCAAGCGUUAUCCGGGAAUUAUUGGGCGUAAAGCGCGCGUAGGCGGUUUUUUUAAGUCUGAUGUGAAAGCCCACGGCUCAACCGUGGAGGGUCAUUGGAAACUGGAAAACUUGAGUGCAGAAGAGGAAAGUGGAAUUCCAUGUGUAGCGGUGAAAUGCGCAGAGAUAUGGAGGAACACCGAGUGGCGAAGGCGACUUUUCUGGGUCUGUAACUGACGCUGAUGUGCGAAAGCGUGGGGAUCAAACAGGAUUAGAUACC
rnacentral:rRNA from 1 species